rnacentral:rRNA from 1 species
UACUUUUAACCUAAAGAAUUUGGCGGUUUUUAAACUUACUAGAGGAACCUGUCCUGUAAUCGAUAGUCCACGAACUAAUCUACCUAUUUUUGUUAUCAGCUUAUAUACCGCCGUUUAGUGAAUUAAAUGAAUAAUUUCCCUUAAUUAAUUAGUUAAAAAAAUCAGGUCAAGGUGUAGUUUAUAAAUAGGAAGAGAUGGGUUACAAUAAUAUUUUAUAACGGAUCGUAGUCUUUAGAGGUUAUAUGAAGGUGGAUUUAGAAGUAAAUUUUACUUAUUUGAAGUAAGCUCUUAAAAAUGUACACAU